UUAAGUUCAGCGGGUAGUCCUACCUGAUUUGAGGCCAAAAUGAUCAAAUUGUCCAAUGAAGGACUAUUAGAAGCUAAACAAUCCGAGCUACACAGUGACGACAUUAUCACACCGCAUAUAUGCUGCGAAUCAAAUUCCAGCUAAUGCAUUCAAGGGAAGCCGAUAAUGAAACCAGCAAUCCCCAAGUCCAAGCUCACCCU
rnacentral:misc_RNA from 1 species